GAGCUGCUGAAGGGACGUCUGCAGCCUUUCGGAGAGUGGCUGAACGUGCAGCCGGUUGAUACAGGGAUCGCUGCAAAUUUGUCACGGUUAGGGUGUAUCCUGCAGGUUGGUGUGCGGCGCUGUGAUGCUGGGGCUGUAAUUCCGGGUGGGGUUAAGAUUGUGAGGACAAGCUGCUGCAUCACUGAUCUGAAGAAGGGCUUUCUCUUUUAAGACUGCAAGAAGAUACUACUAACUGGUAAACACUUGUCUGGGUUUCUUUGCUUGUGGAAUAUUUGUUUGUUUUCCAUAAUAUUUUAGGCCAAGGAAUACAAAGUAUUUUGAUCUGUUGAAAACAAGAAGUAGUUAAUGUAGUAUUUUUUCUUUCUAAUUGUCUGUAGCUCACCAGACAAAAGACUCUGUAGCAGUGGAUAACGUGUGGGUAUUUAAAUUGGAAUACAAAUUGAUUAAAUUCCUGCUCUCUCAAUAGAAGAAAAAAGACUGGUUGUUUUUUUUUUUUUCCCUGUAAUGGCUAGUUAGACAGUUUGUUUGGCU
rnacentral:lncRNA from 1 species